rnacentral:rRNA from 1 species
GAUGAACGCUAGCGACAGGCCUAACACAUGCAAGUCGAGAGGCAGCACAUGAGUAGCAAUACGAUGGUGGCGACCGGCGCACGGGUGAGUAACACGUAUGCAACCUACCGGUAAAAGGGGGAUAGCCUCUCGAAAGAGAGCUUAAUACCGCAUAAUAUCUCUGGAUGGCAUCAUUUAGAGAUUAAACCUUUAUGGUUUACCGAUGGGGAUGUGUAUGAUUAGCUAGUAGGUGAGGUAACGGCUCACCUAGGCAACGAUCAGUAGGGGUUCGGAGAGGAAGGUCCCCCACACUGGUACUGAGACACGGACCAGACUCCUACGGGAGGCAGCAGCGAGGAAUAUUGGUCAAUGGGCGAGAGCCUGAACCAGCCAAGUCGCGUGAAGGAUGAAGGUUCUAUGGAUUGUAAACUUCUUUUGUAAGGGAAUAAAAAGAGCUACGUGUAGUUUAUUGUAUGUACUUUACGAAUAAGGAUCGGCUAACUCCGUGCCAGCCGCCGCCGUAA